rnacentral:miRNA from 14 species
CGGUCCGCCCGAGUGCCACGAA